rnacentral:rRNA from 1 species
UACAGAGGAUGCAAGCGUUAUCCGGAAUGAUUGGGCGUAAAGCGUCUGUAGGUGGCUUUUUUAAGUCCGCCGUCAAAUCCCCAGGGCUCAACUCUGGACAGGCGGUGGAAACUACCAAGCUGGAGUACGGUAGGGGCAGAGGGAAUUUCCGGUGGAGCGGUGAAAUGCGUAGAGAUCGGAAGGAACAUCAGUGGCGAAAAGCGACUUCCUGGACCAAUACUGACGCUCAUGUGCGAAAGCGUGGGGAGCAAACAGG